rnacentral:misc_RNA from 1 species
UUUCCGUAGGUGAACCUGCGGAAGGAUCAUUACUGAGUGAGGGCCCUCUGGGUCCAACCUCCCACCCGUGUUUAUUAUACCUUGUUGCUUCGGUGAGCCCGCCUCACGGCCUCCGGGGGGCAUCUGCCCCCGGGCCCGCGCCCACCGAAGACACCUAGAACUCUGUAUGAAGAUUGCAGUCUGAGCAAAAACUAAAUAAGUUAAAACUUUCAACAACGGAUCUCUUGGUUCCG